UACGGAGGAUCCAAGCGUUAUCCGAAUUCACUGGGUUUAAAGGGUGCGUAGGUGGAAUGACAAGUCAGUGGUGAAAACCUGCAGCUUAACUGUAGAACUGCCAUUGAUACUGUUAUUCUUGAGUACAUUUGAUGUGAGUGGAAUGUGUCGUGUAGCGGUGAAAUGCUUAGAUAUGACACAGAACACCAAUUGCGAAGGCAGCUCACAAAACUGUAACUGACACUGAGGCACGAAAGCGUGGGGAUCAAACAGG
rnacentral:rRNA from 1 species